AUUUUCUGGUCUUUUUGCAACUUUAAUGGCAGCUGCUGCUGCUGCCCCAGAUGAAAUUCCAACCAGUAAUCCUUCCUGAAGAGCCAAUUGCUUUGCUGUCUCAACAGCCUCAUCACUAGAUAUCUCAAUCACUUCAUCGAGAACUUCACUAUCCAAGUUCCUUGGAACAAAUCCUGCCCCAAUGCCUUGAAUCUUAUGUGGGCCAGGUUUUCCACCAGAGAGUAUGUUACUCUCAGAAGGCUCAAUACCAAUAACCUUAAUUCCAGGAUUUUUCUCUUUCAGGAAACGGCCAGCACCAG
rnacentral:misc_RNA from 1 species